UUUGGGUUAUCACCGACUAACCAUUACCCUCUAGGGUUUUGUAACUUUUGAUUGUACACAUGUGUGACACACCAACUACACAUGGCUAAUAUAAUCGAGGUGGUACACAAUUUUUCAUCUUGUGAGUCUCGAAUCUAGUGGAAAUAGGCAUUUGAGUGAUCCUCACUACUACAUUGCACCAAGUACCAUGUGCCUCCUGUUGAUGCGGGUGACUGGAAAUCAGAAAUCGGAGGCAUGUUAUCACACUGAAUUAGGAAAUUAUCCGCAAUAUUGUACAACUCCCCAAAAGUACAAAGGUGUCCGCGCUUACAUAACCGAAAAGACUCAACAACACAACACUUGAAAGGCUUUAAGGAAAGUGGAAAGAAUGAAUAUAAAUCAAAAUGUGAAAGUAAUCAUGAGAUUUACUAAAAACUUAGGAGUAACAUAACAUUAAUUUUCAACUUAACUCUUAAACUUCCAUGCAGAUACAUUGAUGAUUAGUACAAACCGAUAACAAAGGCCUACACCAAGGAAUAGGACAAUCUUCGUCUUCUUUGCAACGAUAACCCUUUCCUAGGUGUAAAACAAGAAGAUUAUAGUGUUAAUGAAAGGGAUAAAUAAAUAAUGUAAAUUUUAAAACUUGUGAAGGACGAAGAAAAGGAGUUACCAGCACUUACACCACUCAAAAUAAAAAAUAGAGAAAUCAAUAUGAUCAUAACAUAUACAAACAAGACAUUUGCAGUCAUGUUUUUCUCUU
rnacentral:lncRNA from 1 species